UACGGAGGGUGCAAGCGUUAACCGGAAUUACUGGGCGUAAAGCGUGCGCAGGCGGUUUGUUAAGUCUGUUGUGAAAUCCCCGAGCUCAACUUGGGAAUUGCAAUGGAUACUGGCAGGCUGGAGUAUGGUAGAGGAAGGUGGAAUUCCCGGUGUAGCAGUGAAAUGCGUAGAGAUCGGGAGGAACACCAGUGGCGAAGGCGGCCUUCUGGACCAAUACUGACGCUCAUGCACGAAAGCGUGGGGAGCAAACAGG
rnacentral:rRNA from 1 species